AGUAGGAUAACUGGGUCAAAUGGUCCAAGUUUUCUGAGGAAUCUCCAUACUGCUUUCCAUAGUAGUUGCACCAAUUUGCAGUCCCAUCAGCAAU
rnacentral:pre_miRNA from 1 species